rnacentral:lncRNA from 1 species
UGACGUCAACUCAAGAAACAUUCGAGGGGGUCUUCUUCACGCUGCACCCUAACACUCACUUUUUUUUCUGUUGCUUGCCACAAUCCUUUCUUUGGUUCCAGCGGUUCAAACUCGAUAGAGCGGUCGCUAGCGAGUCCCGUCCCAAGCGAAUGAAGGAAGCACGGACAAUAGACUGGGGAGGAUAUCUCAUACUAAAUACUAAAGAAAGAGCUCUCUCUUAUGCAAUAGUAAGCAUCACAGUAGCAAUCGUAGGGCGCAAACGUUUGGUUUAGUCUUAGGCCCAAUUCAGCAUUAAUCGGGUAUUUUAAGCUAAGCGUAUUGUUGUAACAAGGCCAGGAAUUCUUCAUAGAGUUGGUGUGCUUUUUAAGNNN